rnacentral:tRNA from 1 species
GUCAGGAGGGCCGAGCGGUCUAAGGCGCUGCGUUCAGGUCGCAGUCUCCCCAGGAGGCGUGGGUUCGAAUCCCACUCCUGACA